AUUGAACGCUGGCGGCAGGCCUAACACAUGCCAGUCGAACGGUAACAGGAAGAAGCUUGCUUCUUAGCUGACGAGUGGCGGACGGGUGAGUAAUGUCUGGGAAACUGCCUGAUGGAGGGGGAUAACUACUGGAAACGGUAGCUAAUACCGCAUAACGUCGCAAGACCAAAGAGGGGGACCUUCGGGCCUCUUGCCAUCGGAUGUGCCCAGAUGGGAUUAGCUAGUAGGUGGGGUAACGGCUCACCUAGGCGACGAUCCCUAGCUGGUCUGAGAGGAUGACCAGCCACACUGGAACUGAGACACGGUCCAGACUCCUACGGGAGGCAGCAGUGGGGAAUAUUGCACAAUGGGCGCAAGCCUGAUGCAGCCAUGCCGCGUGUAUGAAGAAGGCCUUCGGGUUGUAAAGUACUUUCAGCGGGGAGGAAGGGAGUAAAGUUAAUACCUUUGCUCAUUGACGUUACCCGCAGAAGAAGCACCGGCUAACUCCGUG
rnacentral:rRNA from 1 species